rnacentral:rRNA from 1 species
AGGACGAACGCUGGCGGCGUGCUUAACACAUGCAAGUCGAGCGGUAAGGCCUUUCGGGGUACACGAGCGGCGAACGGGUGAGUAACACGUGGGUGAUCUGCCCCGCACUCUGGGAUAAGCCUGGGAAACUGGGUCUAAUACCGGAUAUGACCUGCUCUCGCAUGGGGGUGGGUGGAAAGAUUUAUCGGUGCAGGAUGGGCCCGCGGCCUAUCAGCUUGUUGGUGGGGUAAUGGCCUACCAAGGCGACGACGGGUAGCCGACCUGAGAGGGUGACCGGCCACACUGGGACUGGGACACGGCCCAGACUCCUACGGGAGGCAGCAGUGGGGAAUAUUGCACAAUGGGCGAAAGCCUGAUGCAGCGACGCCGCGUGAGGGAUGAAGGCCUUCGGGUUGUAAACCUCUUUCAGCAGGACGAAGCGCAAGUGACGGUACCUGCAGAAGAAGCACCGGCUAACUACGUGCCAGCAGCCGC